CCCUUAGACGUUCUGGGCCGCACGCGCGCUACACUGACACAGGCAACGGGCUUUCCUUUACCGAAAGGUAUGGGUAAUCUUUUGAAACUGUGUCGUGCUGGGGAUAGAUCCUUGCAAUUUUUGAUCUUAAACGAGGAAUUCCUAGUAAGCGCGAGUCAUCAACUCGCGUUGAUUACGUCCCUGCCCUUUGUACACACCGCCCGUCGCUACUACCGAUUGAAUGGCUUAGUGAGGCCUCAGGAUCCGCGCUUAAUGUGUGGAGAAUUUGGACAAACUACGUCAUUUAGAGGAAGUAAAAGUCGUAACA
rnacentral:rRNA from 1 species